ACACCNCCNCCGUCACACCACGAAAGUCGGCAACACCCGAAGCCAGUGGCCUAACCCGCAAGGGAAGGAGCUGUCGAAGGUGGGGUUGGCGAGUUGGGGUG
rnacentral:rRNA from 1 species